AUUGCAGCUCAAUGAAAAGACAUCUUGUUGGAAAUGCUGACUCAUUCUUGUUUCGUAUUAUCUAUCUUACCUCUCUGAACACAAUGCUACAGGACAAGAAGGAAUUUGGAGCCAGCUGAUCAGGCGGUGGCCAAGAUGAGGCGGUGUACGGCAAGUGACUUUAAUUCUGUGCACAGGGCAUGCCUCUACCUGGAUCUAAGUCAGGAUUCGGAGUUCACCAACUAAGUCUACACAUACAUCAGGAAAGUUUUUUCUCUCUCUUAUUUUCUGGUCCAUUAAUAGACUGUGCCAUAACUGUUAUAAAGAUGUGUCAACACUUAUCCAUCCCACAAAUGGGUUGUGGGUGACAAUUUGCCGUCAUUGUGAGUAUUCGUGCCUGUUCAUGGCAAAUUCACAAGAGCGUCUGCACUAUGCAAUCCUAGGUAUCGCAGUCCAUGAAGUCCAGAAGUGGACGAAACGCGUUGAGGGUUAUCCUGCUGGCUCUCCUGUUGGUUGGCUACAUCUGGGAUUGCUAUCUCCUUGCUGUUGUUCAGAUUAGCUUCACUUCCUGAACCCAAUGUAUGUUUACUGUGUGUGUA